ACUUGUUCUUUAAAUGCGGACUAGUAUGAAUGGCACUACGAGGGUUAUACUGUCUCCUUUUUCUAAUCAGUGAAACUAAUUUUCCCGUGAAGAAGCGGGGAUAUAACUAUAAGACGAGAAGACCCUAUGGAGCUUUAAACAACCCAGCAAUUACUUCUAAAAUUGUAAAUUUCAGAAUAUUCAUUUCUUAAGUAAUAUGUCUGCAAGUUUUUGGUUGGGGUGACCAUGGAGAAUAACAUAACCUCCAUAUUGAAUGAAUUCCCUUCUAAGNUGAAAAUUACCAAUUGAAGCAUCAACAUACUGACAUCUAUUGACCCAAUAUAUUUGAUCAACGAACCAAGUUACCCUAGGGAUAACAGCGCA
rnacentral:rRNA from 1 species